AGAGCGAACGCUGGCGGCAGGCUUAACACAUGCAAGUCGAACGGAUCCUUCGGGAUUAGUGGCGGACGGGUGAGUAACACGUGGGAACGUGCCUUUAGGUUCGGAACAACACAGGGAAACUUGUGCUAAUACCGGAUGUGCCCUUCGGGGGAAAGAUUUAUCGCCUUUAGAGCGGCCCGCGUCUGAUUAGCUUGUUGGUGAGGUAAAGGCUCACCAAGGCUACGAUCAGUAGCUGGUCUGAGAGGAUGGCCAGCCACAUUGGGACUGAGACACGGCCCAAACUCCUACGGGAGGCAGCAGUGGGGAAUCUUGCGCAAUGGGGGAAACCCUGACGCAGCCAUGCCGCGUGGAUGAUGAAGGUCUUAGGAUUGUAAAAUCCUUUCAGCGGGACGAUAAUGACGGUACCGCAGAAGAAGCCUCGGCUAACUUCGUGCCAGCAGCCGC
rnacentral:rRNA from 1 species